AGAGUUUGAUCCUGGCUCAGGAUGAACGCUAGCGGCAGGCUUAACACAUGCAAGUCGAGGGGUAACAGGUUUUAGUUUACUAGAAUGCUGACGACCGGCGCACGGGUGAGUAACGCGUAUACAAUUUACCUCUUACAGGAGAAUAGCCCAGAGAAAUUUGGAUUAAUGCUCCAUGGUAUUAUGGAAUCACAUGGUUUUAUAAUUAAAGCUUCGGUGGUAAGAGAUGAGUAUGCGUCCUAUUAGCUAGAUGGUAAGGUAAUGGCUUACCAUGGCGACGAUAGGUAGGGGUCCUGAGAGGGAGAUCCCCCACACUGGUACUGAGACACGGACCAGACUCCUACGGGAGGCAGCAGUGAGGAAUAUUGGGCAAUGGAGGCAACUCUGACCCAGCCAUGCCGCGUGCAGGAAGACGGCCCUAUGGGUUGUAAACUGCUUUUAUACAGGAAGAAACUUAUCCACGUGUGGAUAACUGACGGUACUGUAAGAAUAAGGACCGGCUAACUCCGUGCCAGCAGCCGCGGUAAUACGGAGGGUCCAAGCGUUAUCCGGAAUCAUUGGGUUUAAAGGGUCCGUAGGCGGGCAAUUAAGUCAGAGGUGAAAUCCCACAGCUCAACUGUGGAACUGCCUUUGAUACUGGUUGUCUUGAGUUAUAGUGAAGUAGAUAGAAUAUGUAGUGUAGCGGUGAAAUGCAUAGAUAUUACAUAGAAUACCGAUUGCGAAGGCAGUCUACUAACUGUACACUGACGCUAAUGGACGAAAGCGUGGGGAGCGAACAGGAUUAGAUACCCUGGUAGUCCACGCCGUAAACGAUGGUCACUAGUUGUUGGGGUCUUGCAGUCAGCGACUGAACGAAAGUAUUAAGUGAUCCACCUGGGAAGUACGAUCGCAAGGUUGAAACUCAAAGGAAUUGACGGGGGCCCGCACAAGCGGUGGAGCAUGUGGUUUAAUUCGAUGAUACGCGAGGAACCUUACCUGGGCUUAAAUGUUUAAUGACCGUCCCCGAAAGGGGAUUUUCCUUCGGGACAUUUUACAAGGUGCUGCAUGGUUGUCGUCAGCUCGUGCCGUGAGGUGUCGGGUUAAGUCCCAUAACGAGCGCAACCCCUAUUCUUAGUUGCCAUCAGGUAAUGCUGGGGACUCUAAGGAAACUGCCUACGCAAGUAGUGAGGAAGGUGGGGAUGACGUCAAAUCAGCACGGCCCUUAUGUCCAGGGCUACACACGUGCUACAAUGGCCAGUACAGAGGGUCGCUACCUGGUGACAGGAUGCUAAUCUCGAAAGCUGGUCUCAGUUCGGAUUGGAGUCUGCAACUCGACUCCAUGAAGCUGGAAUCGCUAGUAAUCGCACAUCAGCCAUGGCGCGGUGAAUACGUUCCCGGGCCUUGUACACACCGCCCGUCAAGCCAUGGAAGUUUGGAGUGCCUGAAGUCGAUAACCGCAAGGAAUCGCCUAGGGUAAAACCAAUGACUGGGGCUAAGUCGUAACAAGGUAGCC
rnacentral:rRNA from 1 species